AACGAACGCUGGCGGCAGGCCUAACACGUGCAAGUCGAACGGACGUAGCAAUACGUUAGUGGCGCACGGGAGAGUAACGCGUGGGAACCUACCUUUUGGUUCGGGAUAACAUCGGGAAACUGGUGCUAAUACCGGAUAAGCCCUUCGGGGGAAAGAUUUAUUGCCGAAAGAUGGGCCCGCGUUGGAUUGGCUAGUUGGUGAGGUAAUGGCUCACCAAGGCAACGAUCCAUAGCAGGUCUGAGAGGAUGAUCAGCCUCACUGGGACUGAGACACGGCCCAGACUCCUACGGGAGGCAGCAGUGGGGAAUAUUGGACAAUGGGGGAAACCCUGAUCCAGCCAUGCCGCGUGAAUGAUGAAGGCCUUCGGGUUGUAAAGUUCUUUUGGUGGGGACGAUGAUGACGGUACCCACAGAAUAAGCUCCGGCUAACUUCGUGCCAGCCGCCGCGGUAA
rnacentral:rRNA from 1 species